GUGACUUUACCGAAAAAAACCAAAGAGUAAUUCCUGCAGUCACGAAAGCUUUGAAUCAAGUCUGUAGUGCCUCUUGUUAAACAGUGCUUCAGUUAAACAGGAAAAUUAAUAAAUCCAGCAGGCAUGACUUGAAAAGUAACAAAUUUACAUUUUGGGUGGCACUCUAAAUCGUCCGGUAAAUCGUGUCGCCAAUUAUAAUUUCUGCGUUUAUCUGCGCGUGUCUGUGUACCCCCAGUGGAGGAAUACGUGCGCAGCUUGCUGGACAACCCUGAGUUGAUUGACCGUCUGGCACUGGCCUCGGAGCAGGAUGUGGUGGAGUCCCGGGUAAUCUUCCCCGAACAUCUCCCGCUGUCCCAGCUGCAGCAAGGUGUGCGCUCCGGCCGGUUUGUCCAGGGAACCUUCCUUGCGAGUCGUGAGAAUUACCUGGAGGGGACUCUGAGGGUGCGAGGGGACGGUGACAGUGAUAAAGAGGUGUUGAUCCAGGGGCUGCAGCAUUUAAACCGCGCGAUGCACGACGACAUCGUGUGCGUGGAGAUGUUCCCCGAGGAGCGCUGGGUUGCCCCCUCCUCGCUGGUCCUGCACGAUGAGGGCGUCGCAGGGGACGUUGCAGAAGAGAAUGAGGAGGAUGUGGUGAGUGGAGCGUCAACACUGCCGAACCAAAAUCAAACCCAGACACCUGCAGUGUGCGUGUCUCUCUCCCCGUGGUCGCAUGGAUUUUUCUCCAGGUCCUCCGGCUUUUCCCUCCACAGUUACAAUCUGACAUGCACUUAGAGUAUUUGGCUGCUAUCAAUUUCAAAUGUGAUAAGAUACUUCAUUGAACGAUCAUUUGUGGCCAGGUCACUUAAAAAGAGCUAUAUAGCUCUCAGGGUCCUUACCUGGUAAAGUUAUUUAGUUUAUAGUUUUUAAAUAGUUUUAAUAUAGUUUAAACAAAGAAUAACAACAAAGACUCAACCACUUCAAGAGAGACCUUAAACAUAAUGAACACCGUGUGACCAGACAACAAUCCAC